rnacentral:tRNA from 1 species
GAUGGGCUAAGUGGAGCUGCUAACUCUCGAGACUGGGCCUAGCCGCCCGGACCCAUCCAA